GUUGCCAGAUGGGUAGUGAUGUGUCCACUGUCUUGUAUCAUAUCACAUUCAUUUGGUGGGCU
rnacentral:pre_miRNA from 1 species